rnacentral:rRNA from 1 species
AUGAACCAAACGUCGAGUUAAGGGGCCUAAACGAAUGCUCAUUCAGAUCCCAUCGAAAGGUGUUGGUUGCUAUAGACAGCAGGACGGUGGCCAUGGAAGUUGGAAUCCGCUAAGGAGUGUGUAACAACUCACCUGCCGAAGCAACUAGCCCUUAAAAUGGUAUGGCGCUAAAGCAUUCUCCCGAUACUCGACCGCCGGGGCAUUACAGGCUUGUUAAUUCAGGUCUCGAAGCCCCGGUGAGUAGGAGGGUCGCGGUGGUGAGCGCAGAAGGGUUCGGCGUGAGCCGGCCUGGAGCCUCCACCGGUGCAGAUCUUGGUGGUAGUAGCAAAUAAUCGAGAGAGACUUCCUUGAAGGCCGAAGUGGAGAAGGGUUCCA